rnacentral:rRNA from 1 species
GACGAACGCUGGCGGCGUGCUUAACACAUGCAAGUCGUACGGUAAGGCCCUUUCGGGGUUACCCGAGUGGCGAACGGGUGCGUAACACGUGAGUAACCUGCCCACAACUUUGUUUUAACGCUAGUAAACUGGUUCUAAUUCUGGAUAUGUGCUCCUUCUUCAUGGUGGGGGUUGGUAAGCUCCGGCGGUUGUGGAUGGACUCGCGGCCUAUCAGCUUGUUGGUUGGGUAGUGGCCUACCAAGGCGGCGACGGGUAGCCGGCCUGGGGGGGUGACCGGCCACAAUGGGACUGAGGUACGGCCCAGACUCCUAAGGGAGGCAGCAGGGGGGAAUAAUGCACAAUGGGCGCGAGCCUGAUGCAGCAACGCCGCGUGCGGGAAGACGGGCUUCGGGUUGGAAACCGGUUUCAGCAGGGACGAAGCUUUUUGUGACGGUACCUGCAGAAGAAGCACCGGCUAACUACGUG